rnacentral:rRNA from 1 species
UACGAGGGGGGCAAGCGUUGUUCGGAUUUAUUGGGCGUAAAGGGUGCGUAGGCGGUUUGGUAAGUCUUAUGUGAAAUCUACAGGCUCAACUUGUUGUCUGCAUGAGAAACUGCCGGGCUUGAGUAUGGGAGAGGUGAGUGGAAUUCCUGGUGUAGCGGUGAAAUGCGUAGAUAUCAGGAGGAACACCUGUGGCGAAAGCGGCUCACUGGACCAUAACUGACGCUGAUGCACGAAAGCUAGGGGAGCAAACAGG